AACGCACAUGGCGCCUUCCAGUAUCCUGGGAGGCAUGCCUGUCCGAGCGUCGUUUCAACCCUCGAGCCCCCGUGGCCCGGCGUUGGGGAUCUGCCCAGGCAGGCCCCUAAAACCAGUGGCGGACCCGUUACAGGCCCUUCCUUUGCGUAGUAGCAUCAGCCUCGCAUCGGGAGCCGGCGGGCUUCUGGCCUCUAAACCCCCAUCAAGUCCGCUCCGGCGGCACCAAGGUUGACCUCGGAUCAGGUAGGAAUACCCGCUGAACUUAA
rnacentral:misc_RNA from 1 species